CAGGACGAACGCUGGCGGCGUGCCUAAUACAUGCAAGUAGAACGCUGAGGACUGGUGCUUGCACUGGUCUAAGGAGUUGCGAACGGGUGAGUAACGCGUAGGUAACCUACCUCAUAGCGGGGGAUAACUAUUGGAAACGAUAGCUAAUACCGCAUGACAAUAGGGUACACAUGUACCCUAUUUAAAAGGGGCAAAUGCUUCACUAUGAGAUGGACCUGCGUUGUAUUAGCUAGUUGGUAAGGUAACGGCUUACCAAGGCGACGAUACAUAGCCGACCUGAGAGGGUGAUCGGCCACACUGGGACUGAGACACGGCCCAGACUCCUACGGGAGGCAGCAGUAGGGAAUCUUCGGCAAUGGGGGGAACCCUGACCGAGCAACGCCGCGUGAGUGAAGAAGGUUUUCGGAUCGUAAAGCUCUGUUGUUAGAGAAGAACGGUAAUGGGAGUGGAAAAUCCAUUACGUGACGGUAACUAACCAGAAAGGGACGGCUAACUACGUGCCAGCAGCCGC
rnacentral:rRNA from 1 species